AUUUUAAUGUCUGUGCUCUUAUUAUGACAGUCAGAACUAGAAUCAUCAGAGCUUCACACAACACCUGCUGCAGGAUCAACAGAGACAACCAGCGAGAAUCCUCAUUAUUAUACUUUACAAUGUUAAUAUCAGGGCGAUACGUUCAGAGGUUAUAAACGAAACGCAACAACUAACGUUACCGAUUCGUUUGCUCUACAGCGCGUGCAAGUAAUUUAACAAGAGAUUCGCUUUAUGCGGAAAGUUACUUACAGGCGAGUCGCGUCACACUCGAAUCCAGCGUUUAUCAGACCGUGUGUCGGUUUUAUUUGCAGAUUAGCUGAAAAACAUGUUGUUAAACUUAACAGCUGUCUUCUGCAGGAUCGGCGCGUGUUGUUGUUGUGACUGUCAUCAAGCGUCAUGUUGUCAAGCAGCCGGAGGUGUCAGACUGAAGCUCCACAGACUCAGUGGCUCAGAAGAUAAAACUUUGCAUUGUAAUCCGGGAGCUCGGAGUUCAAAUCCCACUACUGCUUACUUUACGUUGAUCUCAGACAACAAAGUCACUCAAACGCCAAAAAACAACGAGGAAUCCAUGAUGGAAUCGAGCAGCAUUUAGUAAAGCUGGACUGAAUCGUCCUCUGCGUCACUGAUGAGGAGGAUGUGAGUCUGUCUGGAGCUCUGGAUGAUCAUGAGGCUAUAGAUGGAGGAGUGAGACUCUGGCUUCUUCACACCUACAAAAUCAAACAUCACAACAUUUAAUAUACAGAUUAAACCAAAGUAAAAUUGGCUGGUGGAAAUAAUUCUCAGAUGGUUCGGAGAGCAUCCCCUCAUACAUAGAAGAUGUGGUUUGGAGAAUGGAUGGAUGGAUGGAUGGAUAACAGGCACAUGCAUAAGACCAGAAUCACCAGAUCAAUGUGUUAAUGUGUGUGUUAAUCUCCAUUAAUUCAUGGACAAUAAUUGAAACUGCAUUAAUUCGUUAAAAAGCAGGAGAAUGGGAAAAACUCAUAAAGGGAUAUCAUCCACUUUCCUGAUUUUAGCCCCAACCCUGAUUAAAAACAGUUGAAGCAGCAAAUCAAGGUCUUCAGGAUUAAUAAAAACUUUCAGGCUGAUGUGUUGGACUAGUGUCCAGUAACAAUAUAAAAGUUUAUUUGAAUCAACAUAUUGCUAUUUACAAGUUGUGUAUCUGUGAAACAGCAUUAUCAGUUUCAGUUUGAAAUUUGUUACGACCUCAGGCUCCAAAAGGCUGCAACAAAGAAAGGGACACAUGCAGAUAUCCAAAAUAACUCAAGAUUUAUUAGCAAAACAGAAAAUGAAACAAACGAGUGCUACUGGUAACGUCAGUAGAAUCAGUAAUGUAGAGGAAGGUGUAUGAAUGAUGUACUGUAGCCCAUGUGCAAAUGUAACAAAGGAAAAGAGUAAGAACAACAAAAUGAACCAAAAGAUGGAGCCACCUCAUGUUAGUAGAAUGUCUCCUUUUAAAUGACGGGACGAUAGGGAAGCCAGGGGUAGGUGAUGAAACCACUUAGGGAAUCAACCCUCUUCCAAAUACGGGGGGAGGGGGAGUUUGGGC
ensembl:lncRNA